rnacentral:miRNA from 1 species
CGAGGCUGCGGCAAUCCCUGCG